UGUUCACAUUUAUCUGCUUAUUUCUAAGUGGACUCUUGACUUUACAUAACUAGCCAAGUCUUCCUUCUUCACAACCACUUUAAUCUUCCUCCUCCAAUAUUUCAAACUACUCUCUAUCAGCUAAGCUUGCGACGUUUUCUUUCAUCUAACAAGAACAAAUGGCCGAUGCAAUCCUCUAUGGCGUUGUGCAGACGAUCAUUGAAAGCUUGGGCUCUUCCACUCUGAAUCAGAUUGGAUCGAUUUGGGGUGUCAACGAUGAGCUCGAAAAAAUGAAAAACACUAUUUCCACCAUUCAAGCUGUACUUGAGGAUGCAGAGGAGCAGCAGGUCAAGAACCACCAAGUCAAGGACUGGCUCAUGAAGCUCAGAGAUGCAGCUUUUGAUGCGGAUGACUUGUUGAGCGAGUUCACCACUCAUGUGUUGCAGCAAGAGGUGAUGGAUGGUCAUAAAAUUGUAAAGAAGGUACGCACUUUCCUUUCUAGUUCAAACCAACUUGUUUUUGGUAAUGAGAUGGCUGGCAAACUAAGUGCUAUGAGGGAGAGGUUUAAUGAUAUAGCAAAGGAUAGGAACAAUUUCCAAUUGAUAGAGCGUCCUUUAGAGACACGGGCUAUGAGUAGGGAGAGGGAAACUCACUCGUUUGUACGUGACAAAGAAGUUAUCGGGAGAGAGGAGGAUAAGAAGGCCAUCAUAGGUCUAUUGCAAGACUCUGAUGUGAAAGCAGAUGUUUCGUUCAUAUCCAUAGUAGGAAUUGGUGGGCUAGGGAAGACCACACUUGCUCAAUAUGUAUACAAUGAUAAGAUAGUCAAGGCUCAUUUUGAAUUGAAAAUUUGGGUGUGUGUUUCUGAAGUAUUUGACGUGAAAACAAUUGUUGAAAAUAUAAUUAUAUCCGCAACUAGAAAAAAACCUGAAAGCCUUAUAAUGGAACAUUUGCAAAUUGAACUUCGCGAAAUUCUUAAUCAAAAGAUGUAUUUACUUGUGUUGGAUGAUGUGUGGAAUGAGAAUGAAGAAACAUGGGGUAAACUGAGAACUCUUUUGUUGGAUGGUAAAAGGGGAAGUAAGGUGGUGAUAACUACACGGACUAAAUUGGUUGCACAUAUUACCAGCCCAAUGUCACAAUAUUCUCUAAAGGGCCUGUCAGAGGAUCAGUCUUGGUCAUUAUUGGAGCAAAUGGCGUUUGAAGAAGGGCAAGAGACCAUCAAGACUAACUUUAAAGCAAUUGGUAUGGAUAUAGUAAAGAAAUGUAAGGGAGUGCCCCUUGCUAUAAAGAUAAUAGGACGGGUCUUAAAUCACAAAAAAACAGAAGCUGAAUGGUCCUACAUCAAGAAUAUUGAACUCACAAAGGUACCUAAGUUGAAAGAUGGUAUUAUGCCGGUUUUAAAAUUGAGUUACGAUCAUCUCCCACCACAUUUGAAAUGUUGUUUCGCAUAUUGUUCAUUGUUUCCCAAAGAUUAUUUGAUUGAUAAGUUGACAUUGAUACAAUUAUGGAUAGCACAAGGGUUUAUCCAAUCACCAGAUGAGAACAUACUAUUAGUGGAUGUUGCCGAUGAUUACUUCAAGGAGCUACUUUGGAGAUCCUUCUUCCAAGAAGCAAAAGAAGAUGAAGGCAUGAUUAGGGGGUUUAAAAUGCAUGAUUUAAUCCAUGAUCUUGCACAAUAUGUAUCAGAGAUUGAUUGUACACUGGUUGAUUCCAAUGCAAAAAAUGUGAAAGAAAAAGGACACCAUCUAUCGUUUCCAUUUUACAAUGUUUCAUUCUUUGAGGAGAAUUUAAGCAAGUUGGUUAAAGCAAACAAGAUACGAACAUUUAUAUUGGCGUACAAUAAUUGGGCCUAUGGUCAGGGAAUAAUUAAAGAAUCAACUCUCGAAAAACUUAUUUCUAGUUUUAGAUACUUGCGUGCAUUAGACCUACAUGGUUUAAAUAUGAAGAUGUUGCCAGAUACUAUAGGUACUUUGAUGCAUCUAAAGUACCUUGACCUUUCCUCUAAUGAUAUUGAGGUUCUCCCUAGUUCUAUUACAAAAUUGGUGAAUUUGCAAACAUUAAAGCUUUGCUUGUGUAAAAAGCUUAGGGAGUUACCGGUAGAUAUUCAAAAAAUGGUCAGCCUCAAGCACCUUGACGUUUCCUCUAAAGAUUUUAACUCUAAUGAUAUUGAGGCUCUCCCGAGUUCUAUUGCAAAAUUGGUGAAUUUGCAAACAUUAAAACUCUGUAAGUGUAGAAAGCUUAGGGAGUUACCGGUAGAUAUUCAAAAAUUGAUCAGCCUCAAGCAUCUUGACUUAGAAGAUUGUGAGAAUUUGACUCAUAUGCCACUUGGAUUAGGGCAAUUGACUUCUCUUCAAACAUUAAACUUAUUUGUUUUGAGUGAGGAUCCUGUAGGUUCUUCCAAGCAUUGCGGUGGGCCAGCGGAAUUAAACAAGCUAAAUGACUUGAGAGGAAAAUUAGUGAUUAAAAAUUUGGCACGGGUGAAAGAUGCCACCCCAGAAUUCCAGGCUGCAAAUUUGAAGGAGAAGCAACAUCUCAGUGAGUUGAAAUUAAGGUGGAAUCCAGAGGGUGAUGAUGGUGUAGAUGCCGGUGAUGAUGAAAAUUCCAUGGAUAGCCUCCAACCACACGAAAGUUUAAAAUCUUUGGAAGUGGACGGGUACAUGGGUGUGAGAGUUUCAAGUUGGCUUUCAUUCUUAACAAAUCUCGUUGAAUUAACUAUACGCAAUUGUAAGAAGUGCCAAUAUUUGCCACCGUUGUAUCAACUCCCAUCUCUCCGAGUACUUGGUAUUUGGGGAAUGGAUGGUCUGGAGUACAUGACAGACGGGGAUAUGAAUGAUGAGAUAUAUGCUUCACUAGCAUCACCAUCAACAUUUUUCCCAUCCCUUGAGAGACUGAUCCUCAUUAACUGCCGAAAUCUAAAGGGAUGGUGGAGGAGUGUGGAUAAGGGGAAUGAGGCAACAACGACAUCAACAAUAUCAUCAUCGACUAAUCACUAUCACCAACACAUGUCGUACUUUCCACGUCUUUCUUUUUUUUAUUUCUGGGAUUGCCCUAAGAUGACUUGCAUGCCGCUAUUUCCAAAUCUUGAAAAACAGCUUUAUUUGAGGAAGAGCAGUUUGAAGGCAUUGGAAGAGACAAUAAAGAUGAAUAAUACGGGAGGAAGGGCUUCUUCAUUUCCGUCCUCUUCCUCUUCCUUCUCCCCUCCUCUCUCCAAAUUAAAGUAUUUGAGUUUGAAGGAAAUUGAGGAAUUGGAGUCUCUGCCAGAGGAGUGGUUUAAAAACCUAACUUCUCUUGAGAGAUUAGAGCUUGCGGACUGUCCCAAUCUGACGUCACUUCCCGAAGGGAUGAGUCACCUCACCUCUUUACAUAUCCUGAGAAUUGCUAGAUGUCCCCAAUUAAGGCAAAGAUGCAAGAAGGAAAAUGGAGAGGAUUGGGAUAAGAUUUCUCACAUCCCAAAUCUUAUCAUACCUUGAACUACUACAUACGCUUCCCUGAAAGAACAAGAGGAUUUCAAAAGGGAAGAUAGUAAAGAAGAAGAAAGCUUAUUCUUGACGUUUCAGAAGUUAGUACACAAGAUUCUUCUAGACAAAAAAUGGUUGAUUCAAACAUGGAUGAUGAAAAGACAAAAAAGUAGCACCGUGCAAAGCAAAUUUUUGAAAGAGUGCCAGCAGGAAACAGGAGAUGAUUGCUAAAAACUUCUAACAUCCUAGUGGUUCUAAGCGGAAAACCUUGUGAAACAGGUUUCAUCAUGGGCAGUGAAUUUGAGAAACAAGACAGCAACAUCAUUUCAAUUUUUCUUGAAGCGAUUUGAGAUUAUUUGCGGAAUUGCUCGAAGGAUCUUAUAUCUUCAUCAAGAUUCAAGAUUAAGAAUUAUCCAUAGAGAUUUAAAGGCCAGCAAUGUUCUACUUGACAAUGCAUUGAAUCCAAAAAUUUCAGAUUUUGGUAUGGCUAGAAUUGUUGGAGGGGAUCAAAUUGAAGCUAAUACGAAUUGCAUCGUUGGAACAUUUGGUUAUAUGUCACCUGAGUAUGCAGUGCAAGGACUAUUUUCAAUAAAGUCUGAUGUAUAUAGCUUUGGGGUAUUGCUGCUAGAGAUCGUUACUGGUAAAAAGAACAGUACUUACCAUCAUGAUGGUCCUUCCUCAAAUUUGAUUGGACAUGUUUGGGACCUAUGGAGAUAAGACAAUUCCAUGAAAAUAGUCGACCCAUUACUAGAUGAGGCAUACCCUGCUAAUGAAGUUUCAAGAUGCAUUCAAAUUGGACUUUUGUGCGUGCAAGAACAUGCAACAGACCGGCCAACCAUGUCAACUGUUGUUUUCAUGUUGGGUAAUGACACUCAUCUUCCUUCUCCAAAACGACCUGCAUUUAUUUUGAUGGGUACUGACAAUAGUACAAGUAGAUCAACCAGUGCAGCAUCUAAUUCAGUAAAUGAAAUAACACUUUCUAAAAUUGAUGGUCAUUGAAACCCGAAACUAUUUGUAGCAGGUGUACAAAUAUUCCAUUACAACAUAGGAUUGAGUUACUCUAUGUCUACUCCACAUUACAUUUUUUUUUUUUUUUUUUGUAUCAACAAUUGAACAUAAUGUAUGCACUAUAAAUUAUUACAAAAAAGAAGAUAAUAUAUAAUAUUACACAAACUGUG